GAUGAAGAACGCAGUGAAAUGCGAUACGUAAUGUGAAUUGCAGAAUUCAGUGAAUCAUCGAAUCUUUGAACGCAUAUUGCGCUCUCUGGUAUUCCGGAGAGCAUGCUUGUUUGAGUAUCAGUAAACACCUCAACUCCCUUUUCUUUUUUGAAAUGGGAGCUGGACUUGAGUGAUCCCAACACUUUUCUCACUGGAAAGUGGCGGGUCACUUGAAAUGCAGGUGCAGCUGGACUUUUCUCUGAGCUAUAAGCAUAUCUAUUUAGUCUGCCUAAAAAACAGAUUAUUACCUUUGCUACAGCUAACAUAAAGGAGAUGAGUUCUUGUGCUGACUGAUGCAGGAUUCACAGAGACAGCUUUGCGGCUGACUUUGUAAACUCGAUCUCAAAUCAAGUAAGACUACCCGCUGAACUUAAGCAUAUCAAUAAGCGGAGGA
rnacentral:misc_RNA from 1 species